CACUCCCCCGGAAUCCAAGUGUAGGACUAGCAAUUAUGAGCAGAAUCUCUUGUAGGGAGAGCUUGACUAUUGUGUAUAGGUCUAUACAGGACUGACUAUCCCGCACCUGAACUGCUAGCUACAGUUAGGCAGUCAUGCAUGGGGCGACAAAGUCAUAAAGGAUACUGGCCCCGUUACGUCGCAUAUCAAGUUAAUGUAUGGUUAUAAAACUCGCAACCUAGAUAAUAUAGAUUUACUUUUGUAAUAAUGAAUCAAGUGAGCUAACCUCAAAGUAAUAAUCGAUUUGAUUACUAGAGGGUAUUAGUAAUACCUUCAGGAUUUAGUUCACCACGUAUUUAAUAGUUUUAUUUAUGUAAUAAGACUAGUAUACUUCAAGUAACCAGGGUUUUUGUUUAAAAAGGAAAACUACGUUUAUCGAUAUAGGUAUGGUAGAUACCUCUACACCUCAGUUUAGAACGGAUAAUGAACCAUCAACUUGUAGGAAAAUAUAGGAUUUUCCCGGGAUAACUUGGCUUUUCAUUAACGUACUUGUUUUUACAUGUAACUAACAAACCUUCAUCAUUAAUUCCAUGAUUCCUUAGUUUAUGCGUCUUGGUUACGUAUGAAGAAUGUCCGAUAGACUGUGGAAUGUGUGUUUUCCGCCUCAUUCCCUGUUCCUUGUUUGGUUGUGGGUUUAGGGCAGAUCCACACAAUUAACUAUCUAUCCGAUGUUGGUUUAUACAUAAAUAGUAUGAACUAAGUGGUCAUAGAAGGAAUUGGUUAAUUAUACUUUUCAUAAGAAAAUAAGGGAUUUUCCUGAGAAUCAAUAGCAUCGGAUCAAUACUGGAUAACGUUGUAAGUACCCAGUGGAUACUUCAGGAUUAUGUACAUGAGAAUCUGACAACCAGUGGAAUGUGUGGUCUCCACCUCUUUUCCUGUUCCUUGUUUGGUUGUGGGCUUGUUGCAGAACCACACAGUCGACUGUUUGUUCGAUUUGGAUUGUGUAUGAUUGGUAUACACUAAGUGCUCGCAAGAUGAACUAGCAGAAAUCAAUUUUUACCUAACCUUUACUAUAUCAGAAGAUGUAAACUUUUCUGGAUAAAAAUAACGUACCUUUCGAAAGAACAAAGAACAAUUAUUUCCAAAUCAAAAUGCUUAUGAACUCACCAGCUUUAUGCUGAUAAUCUUUCAAAACCUACUUGUAUUCUCAGGACAUUAGUAGACAGGUACGCACACCGGGUUCAAGAAGACGGAGCUUAGCAGCUUCGAGUCUUUACUUGUUAUUUACUUUUGGUGUCUGUUAUGUAUCAUUCAAAUGAAAUGUAAACACUAUACUAUUUAUUCAAUGUUUUUUGUUGAUUUGAUUACUAUUAUUUAAUUGUUGUGAUACUACAUAUGAUGUCCUCCACCCCCGAACGUUUCCGCCAUUUCGGUUUGGGGGUGUGACAGAUUCGUAUUAGAGCAUUGUUUAUAGUGAACUUAGUAUAUCAAGCAGUAAAACAUAUACAACUAUAAAACAAUGGGGUCGGAGUGCUCUGAUUAAAAGUAUACUUUUAAAAUAUAAGUAUUUUACAAGUAUUAUACUAAUAAGCAUACAUACUAAGAACAAGUAUCACAAUAAGAACAAGUAAGAACAAAACAAACAAAAGUAUUUAGAUGUUGGACACUACAGUUAAACUUGGGUAGUUAUGUAAUCAUAUCUGGGAUAAAUAGAACUUGAUCAACUAUUUUUAUUCGAGAUAUGACCAACAUGUGUUUGGGAGUGAUGGUGGUGUUGCAACGAUUCUAAAACUUACCUAACCCCAUAUACGAAAGUAUCCUUAGAACAAAACAUAAAGAUAAAAUACUAUAGGUGUAUUUCAGGCACUAUAACCAAACUUACAUAACAACUAAAAGACCUAUGAUAGCAGGUCUAUAGUUACGAAGUGCAUGCUUCCGGGGUUGUAUAUAAUUGGGACCUUAUAGCCUCAAAAUUGGUGAGCUACGCUCUAUUACCUGUUCCUUGUUUGGUUGUGGUUUUGGAGUAGGAUCACCUAUUUGAAGGCCUAUUUGAUAUUGGUUAUAUACAGCUUGUAUGCACUGCUUGACUAUAGGAGGACCCAAUCUGGAUCAUUAAUAACUUCAGAAGAAAUGUUCUACUUAAUCUCCUAGGAUUCUUUAAACAUUCCCAUUCUUGCGUAAACAAACUAAAGAUAGAUAGCCACUUCACUACAACCACCAGCAGAGGUGUCAAGAAGGAACCAGAGGAGAUUCAUAAAGAGGAUUCCUAGAAGGAAUCAUUCAAGGAGUCAAAUCUCCCAUUGGAAAGUGGUGGAGAUCAGUGAUAAAACUCGAAGUACGAUCUACAGUAAAUAGGAAACCAUAAGAGAGUCCAGAGACAACAAACCCCCACAGCUGAAUUCAGGAUCAUCAUAACCAGGACAUAAAAUCCCUCUCAAGGUGCGCUAGGUGGUUAAGUAUCAUAUACGUCGUAAUAAUACAUAACUAAUUAAUAUGAUCUAGUGAGUCAGUGGUUACACUGCUCACACUAUGUGUUAGGUUUGUCGCCUUUAUCAUAUCAGCUAGUAACAGUAACCCAGGUCUCAUAACUUCUUCAAGAGGGUAGUCGCUAUCAAAUUCAUAAGUCUAUGUUGCAUAGACCUCUGUUAUGAAUUACUUCCAAGCAUCAGAGCAUGAAACAUUCGAAACUAAGAUAACUUCGAUUCAGAUAACACUCGAUUUGUAACCACUAAGGACAUUCCCUCGUUUCGUCUUUUAACCUUUUGACAAUGAGAUGCCACCGAAGAAGUCGAACCAAAACAAAAACAAUGCACCACCGCCGCCACCUUAGUACGACCCAGUUGUCUUCCAGGCAGUAAUAUCGUCCCGCGGUGACAGCAGUCAUGACUCAAAUCAAUACAAGCAGUACCAGUGGAUCGGGUAGUAGCACCAACAACACUAACCACGAGCGCACAAGGGAGUGCUCAUACAAAUACUUCAUGAUCUGUGGACCCAAAUCUUUCGAUGGAAGUGGGGGAGUCAUCGCCCUGAUGCGAUGGUUCGAGAAGGUAGAAUCGAUUUUUGAAUUUUGCGCGUGCCCAGAAGGGAGCAAAGUGAAGUUUGGUGCUUGCACCUUCUCUGACAAAGCCCUUACAUAGUGGAACAGCCAUGUCAAAUCAUUGAAUCUUCCUAUAGCAAACGCAAUGGGCUAGGAAAAUCUAAAGGAAAUGAUGUUGAAAGUGUACUGCCUAAGGGGCGAAAUACAGAAACUAGAACAUGAGCUGUGGAAUCUAACCAUGGCAGGAUCAGACAUAGAUGCAUACACCGAUAUAUUCAGCGACUUAGUUGCACUAUGCCCAGGAAUGGUUACCCCAGAGAGCAGGAAGGUAGAGAGAUACAUUUGGGGACUACCUUCUCCAAUCCAAGGAAACAUAUUGGUAGCAAAACCUCUUACGUUCAACAGUUCCAAACACUUGGCUCGAACAUUGGUGGACUACGGAAUCCGUCAAGGCAUAAUGGACCCAGUUCCCGAGUCGACCAAAGGAGGUGAUGAUAUGCAAAAGCCCGAAAGCGGUGAGAAAAGACAACCAACACCAGAACCCUCCGAGAGACAACAAGCAGGCACAACCUAUGCUGCCACGACCCCAACCACAACAUCACCUGGCAGUCGCUACGCUGGAACCCUUCCUAAAUGCAAUAAGUGUAACUUCCAUGAUACCGGAAGGUGUCGGAAGUUGUAUUGCAAGAACUGCCUCAGAAGGGGACACACCAUCCGCUUCUGUAGGGCACCGGCACGACCAAUCUCUCAGGUCCCAUUUGAGGGAGUGAUUCAGACCUGCUAUGAGUGUGGCGAAGCAGGACACCACAGUAGAGAUUGCCCAUUGGUCAGAAACCCUGAUGAGGAAGGAAGAGUGCUAAUGAUCACUGCUGGAGAGUCCACCCCGGAACCACCUGAGAAUAACGGUACGUCUCUUAACUAAAUCCUAACUAAAAUAAUUUAUUUCCCGUCUAAUCAGAGCACAUAGUUUAUAUAGGAGCUAAAUACUCUUUUCUGGUUGACUAUAAUGACUUGGUGUAAACAGUAGGCCAAUUUAUAAUUAAGAGCCAAUAAACUUAGCAUGCGUGAUUCCGCCUUAUUUCCUGUUCCUUAUCUAGUUGUGGAUUUAGGGCAGAGUCACUCAGUCAACCGCAUUAUCAAUCUUAAUUGUAUAUGACUUGUAGACACCAAGAGAUUAAAGAGAUUAUAGAGGAACCGGAUAGGGAUCGUAAUAUCAAGUAUUAUUCACUGGAACAAAUUCUCGGUUAGCACACUUAAUUCAGUACUUAAUAUUCACAGUAGUAAUGACAGGGUCAACACAGAAAGCACUAGAAACGUUCACACACAGAUACGCCUAUGCCAUAACGAAAUACUCCUUCCGAACUAACUUAACACGUGACCCUACAAUAUCAUCCCGUCUAUUCUAGCUGAGUCUACGUUAUACCAAACCCACGUGUCACCAAGGAGACCCUUUAACUUGAACCGACCGAAUAACAAAACUCUCGUCAACCAUAAUGACAAACUAGAUGUGACCCUCGAAAUCUUAUCUCGCUCCAAACCCCAAAAAAUACUCAUGCGAGGAGUAUAGUAUCCACCCGUAACCUCUCAUAAGUACCCACAACAGACCAUUUUGGAAACACCACUCGCGCAGCAAACCAAGUUCAAACUCAGAGACUAGGGAUAAAUACGGUUAGCCUAUCGAUGUUUAAUGUACACGCAAGGGUGGUAUAUAAUUAAGGUUCUACGGACUUAGGAUGUGUGUUUCCACCCUAUCUCCGGUUCCUUGUUUGGUUGUGGACCUGGGGUAGAGUCACCCAUCCGACCGUCCUAUAAAUCUUAAUUAUAUACGACUUGUGUACUCGAGACAAUGAUAGAUGGACCAGGUAUAAGUCCUAUCAGGAACUUCAGGACGAAGACCGCUCAGAGCUAGAAGCGAGCUUACACUUUUUGGAAGAAUCAUCCUCAUCUUUUCCGAGUCCGCUAUUUGCAUUCUAUGCUUGAAUUUCGGGACGAAAUUCCCUCUAACGAGGGGAUGAUGUGACAACCCGAAACUUUUAUCAAGGUUAAACUCGACUCCGUCACCUUUUAACACCGUUUGAGUGUCCGUUUAAGUGUUAUGAGUACCACCAGGUUGAGAUUAGGGAUGAUCUAUAAACUCUUAAAGUAGCAAAUUCGGGCCAUACACCGUAAUGCGAGUAGUAUACGGCCGUACACAUGGGUGUGCAGCCGCACACCCACCACUCAACAGAAUACCCGGGGUGGUGGGUCACCCACCCUUAUAAAAUGAGGAGACCCACCCCCUCUCAUUCAUUCUUUUCUUCCUUUGGCUGCACUACUACUUUCUCUCUCUAGAAUCUUUGUUCAAAAACCCUCCAAAGGUAUCAAAACCGUAAGUAAUUCAUCCCUUAGCUUGUUAUGCUUGAAAGACAACUUGAUUCUUCAUGUUUUAGGCCUUGUUCUUCAUCCUUUGAAGGUGUACGGCCGCACACCUUCAUAAGGGUGGUACCUUAAAGGCCCUCCAAAGUGAUAAUGUGGCCCCUAUCUUCUAGUUGGACACGACCCUAGCCUUGAUUCUCUUGAAAAUCGACAUUUUUAGGCAUAAAUGAAGAGUGUACGGCUGCACACCCCUCUAUACGGCUGCACACUCCUUUUUACGGCCGCACACACACCCUCAGGGCUGCACACCCACUUUGAUGUUCAUAUUUGGCCUUAAACUUGCAAAACCACUAAGUAUGGGACCUAGAACACUCCUUGGAGGCUUGUAGAACCUUGGAACACCUCAAAAACACCCCUCUUCAUGAGUGUAUGGCUGUAAACUCAUGGGCCACACAUCCAUGACCGUACACACCCUCAAGGUGGCCAUACACCUCCCUCACUCAAUCACAUGUGCUUUUUACACUUAGUUCAAGUGUAUCCAAGCCCCUAGAUUGGUUUCCUAUCAUGUCCAAUCAUAAAAUACCCUAAUUUGAAUCAUAUAUGUGUCAUUACAUGUUAAAUAGGGUUCAAAUGUGUUUGAGGCUUCAGUUGACACUCAGCAUCCAACCGAUCUUACAUUCGAAUCCUACGUCAAAACUGUGAGUUCAUACCCCUACGUUUUUUUUUUCGAGNGUUGUUUUAUGUUUUUUUUUGGGGGGGGGGGGGAUACAAGUAAAAGUACAUGGAAACUUGUGCUCAAAAUAUAUUAUUUUGUCUAAGAUAAUUAUAUUCUCAGUGCACUUUUAAUGUGGAAAACAGUUUUUACCAAACGAUUAAGAAAUCAACUCGUAGAAACAGUUUUCAAAACUAGGGUAACUAACUUGAGAAUCACGUGGUAAAAUAUACUAUUUUAUAAGGGAUUCAUACAAAUCAUAAACUGGAUUUUCAGUAUUAUUACUUGUAAAUUUGUUAGUCUAAUAUUGGAGACACGUCCUUGGUAACACUCCCCCGGAAUCCGAGUGUAGGACUAGCAAUUAUGAGUAGAAUCUCUUGUAGGGAGAGCUUGACUAUUGUGUAUAGAUCUAUAUGGGACUGCCUAUCCCGCACCUGAACUGCUAGCUACAGUUAGGCAGUCAUGCAUGGGGCGACAAAGUCAUAAAGGAUACUGGCCCCGUUACGUGCCAUAUCAAGUUAAUGUAUGGUUAUAAAACUCGCAACCUAGAUAAUAUAGAUUUACUUUUGUAAUAAUGAAUCAAGUCAACUAACCUCAAAGUAAUAAUCGAUUUGAUUACUAGAGGGUAUUAGUAAUACCUUCAGGAUUUAGUUCACCACGUAUUUAAUAGUUUUAUUUAUGUAAUAAGACUAGUAUACUUCAAGUAACCAGGGUUUCUGUUUAAAAAG
rnacentral:lncRNA from 1 species